AAACUGUGCAGGGACAGAACGUUUGGAUGGGCUAGAAUUAUGCCUGAGCGUCUAUUGAUUUUUCGCAACAUGGUGAUGGCAUGUUUUGCUGGGUGCAAGGUUUGUUCAGGAACUUGGUAACACUUUUCGAAAUUCGAACACAAUAAAUUAUUACAAUUUAUGGUGUUCUUUGUUUAGGCCUUUUAUUCCUAGGCCUAUAGGGCAAAAUUCUUAAAAAGUUUCAGUUAAGUGGGGCUCAAAUAUGAAAUCAGAUACCGGAAGAGAUACGAAAUUCGGUAUCUUAUGAUUCAUUUUGCAAAAAGCUCUCUCAUGCCUUUUAAGAAAUUAGUUGUCUAGGUUAAACAUAUUGUUUAGUUAAUGUAAUAUUAAGUUCUUUGAAUGUUUGCAUGGCGAUAAAAUAUAAUUGGUUUUUUUUGUGGAAACACCACGUAAAUUUAUUACUGCAAAGCUUUCGAUCCGUAAGCCCGGAUCUUCAUCAGUGCUAAUAAUAUGUGAAAGAUAUGUAGACCAAAUAACUCAAAAUGUGAUGAAGAUCCGGGCUUACGGAUCGAAAGCUUUGCAGUAAUAAAUUUACGUGGUGUUUCCACAAACAAAAACAAUUAAUGUAAUAUUGUUUAGUUUAGUUUAUGUUGGGAAUAAUCAGCAUGGUAAUAUUUAAAUAAGUUUAGUAUUUAAUUUUGUAAUUUUGAAACAUUAAUAGCACUCCUACUGUAGGUCUUAUAUAAGGUCCAGACACACUGGACGCGAUUCAACAACGCGACGCGAGUUUACGAUUUUCACUGACCGAUAACUUUGAUCCUAGUUUAUAUUUCCCAAAUAUUUAGAAGCGGUAUAACAUUUUGAGUUAUUUGGUCUACAUAUCUUUCAAAAUUUACUCUCAUUUAUAUAGCUGCUUCAUCAACUUUCAAAAACUAAAAAAUCGUGUCGCAUUGUUGAAUCGCGUCCGAUGUGUGGACCUUUACAGUGGAAAAUUAUUUUUAAAGUGGAAAAUUAAGCUAAGAUAAGAAAACACAUAUUAUAUUUACGAAAAUGUUAAAACUACUUAUGCUUACGAAAAUGUCGAAAACCUAUACGGGCAUUAUUUGCAAGAUGCAAAGGAAAUAAACUCUAUAAACAUUAAUUAAGGUCACGGCUGCCGUGUUGGAUGCAUGAACAUGACCGAAAGGAAUUGUCAAAUUUCAUCCAAUAUGGCGAAAGUCUCUUUCCUUUGUGAUUGGUUACAAACAAGAGCAGCGAAAUGAAGUUUAUCAUAAUCAGUUUAUAAAAAGUGAUCCCUUGCCACUGUAAUAUAUAAUUUAUGUAUAUUCUUUCUGCAUUUACCAUUUUCAGAGAACCAUGCCUAUAAAUAUUAUUAUAAGUCGUAUCGGAGGAUUUCCAAGAACUAGAUUUGUGGCCGUCUGCGUGGUAUGAUAUUUUCAAUAUAUAUAUAUAUAUAUUUAAUUUCAAUUCCCGAAAAUAAAAUUAAAGUAAUUAAUAUUCCUAACCUGAUGUACUGCACUUUCCGUUAUUUCUUGUUGAC
rnacentral:lncRNA from 1 species